rnacentral:lncRNA from 10 species
ACACUCCCAGCUGUGCCUGGCUAUGACUAGUUGUGCAUUCUAGAGCUCUUUAGAGCUACUUCAGAGUUGCAGGAUAAAGAUUUCUAGGGAAGAGGGCAGGGCCAGGCGCCCGGAGGAUUUCCAGCCACGGGUAGUUUACCGAGAGAAAAAGCUGCGGGCGUCGCUCCCUCUUUUACAUAAGAAAGGCUAAGCUCUAAAAGGCAGACAACUUCUUCCUGGCCCUUCGGAGAAGCUAGCCCUUGGAACCUAGGCCCUGAGUCGUGAGGAAGAGGAAAGACUACAUGGGGUCACUAUGUAAGGUGUUCCUGGUGACAGCUCCUGCUGAGGACCCAGCUGACAGCAAGCACCAACCUCCAGACAACAAGAGCUUUCUUCUGGCACAUCUGGUUUAUGUGAAUACAUUAGUGAGUUUCCCAGGAAGCCGCAGCAUCACACAAAGGCCCAUGAUCAUUUCACCAGAGACAGGCUCCGGCCCUGUCACCCAGCCUUGAGGACAGUGGC